GGACAGCUACAAACAUGAGGGACAUAGUGGGUCAGUCACUAGGGGUCAUGUCUCCGGGGCAUCGCCUUAAUCAAAGCGGUAUUGAUCAUGUCAGUCAAGGGCUAUCCUCCCCUCUACAUAAUUUUAUGGUACAAAGUUUAUUGAGAAACUACAUGAUGAAUCAAUGGAAUGUUGGAAAUAUAUCUAUAGAUACUGGCAAUAUAUCUCUGUCCAAUAUGACUGGUAAAUUAAUUUGAUAUUGAUAUCGAAAUAGGAUAAAUCAUAGAAACCAAAUGAGACAUAUAACAAAUAUAUGUGAAUACUAUCUUUUCCCACUUUUUAAGACUGAAAAUAAUGGACUAUUACCAAGCCGUUUGUACUUGUUACACAAGAUGAACAUGUCCCAUUCAGUCAAAUAACUGUUACUUAAAAGGUCUAGAAAGGUGGCUGAUUUGCAAAGGUACUAGUAUGUCAUUCAGUCAGUUCUAAGCUAUUUUUUAAACACCACUGAUAAAUGGGCGACGGAGUUUCAUCCUGUGUUAUUUAAGUAAUAGUACUUUGAUUUCGUGGAGUUUAAAAUAAAUCUUGUUUCUUGUAGAUUUAACACUGGCAGAGGCACCAGAAGAGGAUUCCUCCCGAAUUUUGAUUCUGGUUUUAUCUCUUAUUCUAGCUGGACUUAUAGUAGCAUCGAUUGUGCUGACUGUCAUUUUAUUUAAGAAAGACAUAUAUUCAAUUACAAGCAAAGUUUUUAAGGUAUUUAGCACUUUCAUCAUAAUACAGUUGGAUUGUAAUUGUACAAGACUUUCAGACAUUUUUUUAUUUGUACUUGCUAUCUUAAUAGAGCUUAGGACUUCAUUGAUCUUUUUAAGUAGAAGAGCUCGGUAUAAAGAUAUCUGAAAGUAUUCAAAUUUAAAAGCUAUAAUUUAUGGAAUUCUUCUUCACUACUUAAAAGUUAAUUGCUAGUGAACUAAAUUUUAAAUCUAUAGGAAAUUGUUUACCAGCCUUCUUACGUCUCUAAUUAUAUUUGAAAAAUUUAAUUUGACAAAAUUUAAAGAUAUAUUCUCAUUUACACUUAAAAUGUAUUUUCUAUUUUAACAAAACAAGCAAUACACAUUAUACUUGAUAUCAUACUUAAACAGUUUUUAUAUUUGACAAAUGCACGAAAUGUGUUUUGCAGGUUAUUUAUUGCUUUUGAAUCUUUAUAUAUUACCAACAGAAAUCAAUUGACCAAUCUUAUGAUAUUUCAUAGCCUGGGUCUGCCAGAAAACAGCCAGAUGAGCCUGAAGACCAGCCUGGUCUUUGGGAUGAAGAUGACGCAACUCUGUACUCUACAAUUUUUCUUGACGAUGCAAACCUAGGUGUUGCACAAGAUAACUUCGUAGUAGACAACACAUCGAGUGAUUGUAAAAGCCAAUCCGAGUAUAGUCGUCUAAAACGAAACUAUGGAAACAGAAUAAAUAGUGAAGAAAACGGAAGUGAGAACCCUUAUGACAAGUUGGUACUACACACCCAAACUGUAAAUAGAUUAUCUGUGUCAUCAAAAUCAUCUGACGAUCACACACCACAAUGUACGCCUUUGUCAACCGUAUACGUCAUCAGUGAGUUCCCGGAAGUUUUCUGAUAUCAAAUUCAGAAAUAGACCUCAACAUAUUAGUUUUUUUCUUGUUUGUUUUGUCUUUGCUUGUUAUUUUGUAUCUUUGUUUUUUUUCCAAAUUACUUUAAUUGUGUUCGGGUGUUUUUUCUAACCAUGGUCUAUCUAAUACUUGUGAUCCCACGACUAAAAUUUCAAUUUAAGUAACCAUCUGUAUGAAAAUGCUCUUAUAGAGUUCAAUUUUGUUUACCUGCCUUAUACAGAAGUCAUCGGAAUGUAAAACAAGACUUAUAAUCAAACAUUUUAUGUUUGGUGUCCUAUUUAAGUAACAAUAAACUUUUUUAAAGU
rnacentral:misc_RNA from 1 species